UGUUCAUAACUAAUUUUUCUUGAAAAUAAAAAUAUUUUAUUACCUUUUGCAACAAUAUGCCUCAAAAAAAAAUGUGAAAAUAAUUCUUUGCAAUAAAAAAUAUUGAAUAUUGAAAUUGUUCAAGUGUAUGAAUAAAAAGGUAUUUGUCGUUUAAAGGUUAACAUGGGUAUUUGCUCAGAUGGUUAACGAAAGAAAAUCUACAAAGAGAUGUACC
rnacentral:lncRNA from 1 species